rnacentral:rRNA from 1 species
UACGGAGGAUCCAAGCGUUAUCCGGAUUUAUUGGGUUUAAAGGGUGCGUAGGUGGUUCUUUAAGUCAGGGGUGAAAGACGGCAGCUUAACUGUCGCAGUGCCUUUGAUACUGAAGAACUUGAAUACACUAGAGGUAGGCGGAAUGUGACAAGUAGCGGUGAAAUGCAUAGAUAUGUCACAGAACACCAAUUGCGAAGGCAGCUUACUAUGGUGUCAUUGACACUGAGGCACGAAAGCGUGGGGAUCAAACAGG